AUUGAACGCUGGCGGCAGGCCUAACACAUGCAAGUCGAGCGGGGUUUUCGGACCUAGCGGCGGACGGGUGAGUAAUGCGUAGGAAGCUACCCGGUAGAGGGGGAUACCAGUUGGAAACGACUGUUAAUACCGCAUAAUGUCUACGGACCAAAGUGUGGGACCUUCGGGCCACAUGCUAUCGGAUGCGCCUACGUGGGAUUAGCUAGUUGGUGGGGUAAUGGCUCACCAAGGCGACGAUCCCUAGCUGGUUUGAGAGGAUGAUCAGCCACACUGGAACUGAGACACGGUCCAGACUCCUACGGGAGGCAGCAGUGGGGAAUAUUGGACAAUGGGCGCAAGCCUGAUCCAGCCAUGCCGCGUGUGUGAAGAAGGCCUUCGGGUUGUAAAGUACUUUCAGUAGGGAGGAAGGGUGUUGUGUUAAUAGCACAGCAUUUUGACGUUACCUACAGAAGAAGCACCGGCUAACUCUGUGCCAGCCGCCGCGGUAA
rnacentral:rRNA from 1 species